rnacentral:misc_RNA from 1 species
GGUGGUUCAAUUUUGCUUAUUGACUUGAAAUUGAAGAUUAUCCUGAUCUCUCAUCAUCUGCGGCCCAUUUUCUAUUAUCUUGUCAUUGCCUGCAACAGUUUCUGUUGUUUUUUCUUUAUAGUUGGCAUUUCCCGUCUUCUUCUCAUUUGCUUCUACAGUCACAGCUUCUCUAUCCUUUGCCUUCUCGCCAGCUUUAGAUGAUACCAUUGUAGUGAUGGCUGGGACAGCUUCUCCGUUUUGAUGAAGCUGCUGCAGCUGAAAUUUGUGCUUCUUCCCCUUUUCAUGAGCCUCCAUUACCACUGCAGAGUAGGCACCAAUCUGACACAUUUCACACCAGAANGAAUUGUUUCUUCUUCCUAAAUUCUGCUGUCCUCUCCUCUGCAAUUUCCCUGCCCCUUUUCUCUUCAAAUUUUCUGUAUGUACAUUUUUGCAGCUUAUCAUUUGCAUUCCCUGAAUCUUGUUUGUUCUCUCUUUUCUUGUCUGUAUCAUCAUUAGCUUUUUCAACUUCAAGUAAUUCCCCUUCAACUUUUGCCUCUAGUUCUGAGCCUGCAAUACUGGUAGUGAGAUUAGCUGGUUUUGCAGUUUUCUUUGGAAACGGUAUAGGACUUAAGUUUUUGGCCACCCUAUUUGCUCUCAAUCUUGCUUCCUUAGCCUUGUGCCUCUUGCCUUGAAGGUGUUCAUUCAAACCUCUUUCACUU